rnacentral:rRNA from 1 species
AUCUUGCGCAAUGGGCGAAAGCCUGACGCAGCGACGCCGCGUGAGUGAUGAAGGCCCUCGGGUUGUAAAGCUCUGUGGAGGGGGACGAAUAGGCGCCGGCGACUACCCGGCGUGAUGACGGUACCCCUUUAGCAAGCACCGGCUAACUCUGUGCCAGCAGCCGCGGUAAGACAGAGGGUGCAAACGUUGUUCGGAAUUACUGGGCGUAAAGCGCGUGUAGGCGGCUCGGAAAGUCGGGUGUGAAAGCCCUGGGCUCAACCCAGGAAGUGCACUCGAAACUUCCAAGCUUGAGCUUUGGAGAGGAAGGCGGAAUUCUCGGUGUAGAGGUGAAAUUCGUAGAUAUCGAGAGGAACACCGGUGGCGAAGGCGGCCUUCUGGACAGUGACUGACGCUGAGACGCGAAAGCGUGGGGAGCAAAC